rnacentral:rRNA from 1 species
GACGAACGCUGGCGGCGUGCCUAAUACAUGCCAGUUGAGCGCUGAAGGUUGGUACUUGUACCGACUGGAUGAGCAGCGAACGGGUGAGUAACGCGUGGGGAAUCUGCCUUUGAGCGGGGGACAACAUUUGGAAACGAAUGCUAAUACCGCAUAAAAACUUUAAACACAAGUUUUAAGUUUGAAAGAUGCAAUUGCAUCACUCAAAGAUGAUCCCGCGUUGUAUUAGCUAGUUGGUGAGGUAAAGGCUCACCAAGGCGAUGAUACAUAGCCGACCUGAGAGGGUGAUCGGCCACAUUGGGACUGAGACACGGCCCAAACUCCUACGGGAGGCAGCAGUAGGGAAUCUUCGGCAAUGGACGAAAGUCUGACCGAGCAACGCCGCGUGAGUGAAGAAGGGUUUCGGAUCGUAAAACUCGGUUGGUAGAGAAGAACGUUGGUGAGAGUGGAAAGCUCAUCAAGUGACGGUAACUACACAGAAAGGGACGGCUAACUACGUG